UAAUAAAGUCUCUCAAUACUUUAUCAUUAACUAAUUGUGAUUAACAUUUUCUCUCUUAGUGAGUGUUGAUUUACUGUUUUUCUUUAUUUAAUUUAUCAUCAAGUUAAUUGUUGGGUGAUAACUUUUUUAAGAAGGCGGAAUUUGAUUAAAUUGUCAACAAAAAGAGUUGAGGAUUCCAAUAUUAACUUCAGUUCACCACAAGUCGUCCAACAAUUAAGAUCAUUUCACCUUAACAAUUAACUAAAUUUACAUCGAAAUUAUUUCAUCUUUUACCUUAAUCAUUUUCUUAAUUAAAUCUUCAACCUUUUUUUGUGGUUAAUUAACUAAUUCCAAUCAAAAUGAUAACUUCAUUUUUCGUAUUGUCUCUUGUGAUUCCAGUUUAUUGGACUAUCUUUAAAUACAUUGAAGCUCGACUAUCUAAAAGUAAAUUCGUUUGAAUCUUUGAUACGACUGAUUGAAAACUCACUGACCAUUGGUUGUGAGUUGAUCUUAAUUUUGUUUGGAUUAAUUAACCAAGGAAUCAACAAUUGACCCUCUAACUAUUAAUCAAACAUGUUAGGACAAUUUAAUUACCACACAAUCAUCAUGAUCAACUUAAUCAUAUCACAUCAACAUCAACAACAACAGUAAUCCAAAGGCUCUUGACCAUCGACAAUUUGGUUACUUGACCAUUUUCAAGGAAUCGCAAUUGUGUUGAUGGAUUUAAUUUUAAAUUGUAAUUGGAUUCUAACCGAUUGCUUAUUAUUAGAAUGGAUAAUUAGAUUGUUUUAUCCGGUGUAGAUUUUAAUUGGAAAGAAAAAAGUUAAUUGUCUCUAAUUCUUUCAACUUUAGACUUGAAAGAUCAAUGAGAUUUAAUUAUUUCCUAAACCUUUAUAAUUGUUGCUUAAUCAAUGAUCUGACUUGAUCUCACCCUUGGCAAUCAAUUCUGAUAACAAUUAACUAAUUACUGAUGUUGUGUUGAUGAUGAAUCUUUCCUUUAAUUACUUUCCCUUUAUUAUUUAUUGUUAAUCUUAUUCUUCCCUUUGAAUUGUAAUCAACUUUUUUUUAGAAAAUUUAUCAUUAAUCUCUGUUGGAUAAUUAACCAAAUCACUGUGAUUAAGAUAAUUAAUUUACUCAAUAAUCAAUGUGUUCAUCGAUCAAUAGUCCUGUUCAUUUAAUCCAAACAAAAUUAACUAAUAAAAUGACGAAUUGAUUGAAACUAUUAUAAACAAA